CUGAGCCUUACAUGAAACCUGGGCUUGCCGACCUGAAGAAUGCCAUCGUGGUACCUCACAUUGCUUCUGCCUCCAAGUGGACUCGAGAAGGAAUGGCAACAUUGGCUGCUCUUAAUGUCCUGGAUAUCCAGUUUGGUCUGAUGCGAAACGGGUAGAACCAUUCCUGAAUGAGAAUGCUCCACCACCAGCUGCCAGUCCAAGCAUUGUUAACGCCAAGGCCUUAGGAUUACCAGUUUAAAGGCUUUGAGCAUUGAUGUAAAUGGCCACAUUUUGAGCCUUCCUGGUGCAAAUGGAGCAAUUGUUAUGCAUGGAACCAGGCUCUAGCGAUACUGUGAUUAUCUGGAGUUCUAACAAAAGUUGUAUAUUUGAAAGAUGAAUGUGGUCAAACGUGUAUCUACUAUGUUGUCUCAUAAAUACUGGCUUCAGAAUCCUGUUAUAUAUAAGAGGUUACUUAUGAAUGCUUCAAUC